ACUACACUUAAUGGAUAAUGAAAACCCUGUAAUCAAAGUAUUUAAUUUAUUAUUAAAUCGUUGAUGAAAUAUUCUUUAGACUAUUCAAUUUAUUGAAAAAUUCAAAAUUUAUUGGACGUCGGCUAACUUAAGUAUCCACUUUAUUUAUGUACUCACAUGGUCUUUGAGAAACCAUUGUUGGAAAUAUGUUAGUCCUACAGAUAAUAAAAAAUAUGUGCCGAUCAACAUCAAAGAUCUUCCAAAAAUAUUCCAAAAAGUUUUCGGUACUUUUGAUGUCGUUUGAUAUUCCUGUGCAUGCUGCAGAUAACAAUCCAGUGGUUCUGGUUCAUCUCUUGCUGCUUCAUAUUUGACAUCCGAUAUUGGCAUAUUAACUUUUUUUAGAUUAUUAUUUACAAUUAAAAAUUAAUUAUCAUUUAUUUGUAUAAAUUAUGAAUUAAACAUCACACUUGUUGUUUUUAGAUUUUUUU